rnacentral:piRNA from 6 species
UCGCCUGCCACGCGGGAGGCCCGGGUU